UACAGAGGGUGCGAGCGUUGUUCGGAAUUAUUGGGCGUAAAGCGCUUGUAGGCGGCUCGUCAAGUCGCGUGUGAAAUCCCCAGGCUUAACCUGGGAAGUGCGCGCGAAACUGACGAGCUUGAGUGCCGGAGAGGGUCGCGGAAUUCCCGGUGUAGAGGUGAAAUUCGUAGAUAUCGGGAGGAACACCAGUGGCGAAGGCGGCGACCUGGACGGACACUGACGCUGAGAAGCGAAAGCGUGGGGAGCAAACAGG
rnacentral:rRNA from 1 species